AUUGAACGCUGGCGGAAUGCUUUACACAUGCAAGUCGAGCGGCAGCACGGACUUCGGUCUGGUGGCGAGUGGCGAACGGGUGAGUAAUACAUCGGAACGCGCCCAGUCGUGGGGGAUAACGUAGCGAAAGCUACGCUAAUACCGCAUACGAUCUACGGAUGAAAGCGGGGGAUCGCAAGACCUCGCGCGAUUGGAGCGGCCGAUGGCAGAUUAGGUAGUUGGUGGGGUAAAGGCUCACCAAGCCGACGAUCUGUAGCUGGUCUGAGAGGACGACCAGCCACACUGGGACUGAGACACGGCCCAGACUCCUACGGGAGGCAGCAGUGGGGAAUUUUGGACAAUGGGCGCAAGCCUGAUCCAGCCAUUCCGCGUGCAGGAUGAAGGCCCUCGGGUUGUAAACUGCUUUUGUACGGAACGAAAAGGCUCUGGUUAAUACCCGGGGCUCAUGACGGUACCGUAAGAAUAAGCACCGGCUAACUACGUGCCAGCCGCCGCCGUAAGAC
rnacentral:rRNA from 1 species